UUGAGAGCGGCGUACGGGUGCGGAACACGUGUGCAACCUGCCUUUAUCAGGGGGAUAGCCUUUCGAAAGGAAGAUUAAUACCCCAUAAUAUAAUGAGUGGCAUCACUUAUUAUUGAAAACUCCGGUGGAUAGAGAUGGGCACGCGCAAGAUUAGAUAGUUGGUAGGGUAACGGCCUACCAAGUCAGUGAUCUUUAGGGGGCCUGAGAGGGUGAUCCCCCACACUGGUACUGAGACACGGACCAGACUCCUACGGGAGGCAGCAGUGAGGAAUAUUGGACAAUGGGUGAGAGCCUGAUCCAGCCAUCCCGCGUGAAGGACGACGGCCCUAUGGGUUGUAAACUUCUUUUGUAUAGGGAUAAACCUUUUCACGUGUGGAAAGCUGAAGGUACUAUACGAAUAAGCACCGGCUAACUCCGUGCCAGCAGCCGCGGUAAUACGGAGGGUGCAAGCGUUAUCCGGAUUUAUUGGGUUUAAAGGGUCCGUAGGCGGAUCUGUAAGUCAGUGGUGAAAUCUCAUAGCUUAACUAUGAAACUGCCAUUGAUACUGCAGGUCUUGAGUAAAGUAGAAGUGGCUGGAAUAAGUAGUGUAGCGGUGAAAUGCAUAGAUAUUACUUAGAACACCAAUUGCGAAGGCAGGUCACUAUGUUUUAACUGACGCUGAUGGACGAAAGCGUGGGGAGCGAACAGGAUUAGAUACCCUGGUAGUCCACGCCGUAAACGAUGCUAACUCGUUUUUGGGUCUUCGGAUUCAGAGACUAAGCGAAAGUGAUAAGUUAGCCACCUGGGGAGUACGUUCGCAAGAAUGAAACUCAAAGGAAUUGACGGGGGCCCGCACAAGCGGUGGAUUAUGUGGUUUAAUUCGAUGAUACGCGAGGAACCUUACCAAGGCUUAAAUGGGAAUUGACAGGUUUAGAAAUAGACUUUUCUUCGGACAAUUUUCAAGGUGCUGCAUGGUUGUCGUCAGCUCGUGCCGUGAGGUGUUAGGUUAAGUCCUGCAACGAGCGCAACCCCUGUCACUAGUUGCCAUCAUUCAGUUGGGGACUCUAGUGAGACUGCCUACGCAAGUAGAGAGGAAGGUGGGGAUGACGUCAAAUCAUCACGGCCCUUACGCCUUGGGCCACACACGUAAUACAAUGGCCGGUACAGAGGGCAGCUACCUAGCGAUAGGAUGCGAAUCUCGAAAGCCGGUCUCAGUUCGGAUUGGAGUCUGCAACUCGACUCUAUGAAGCUGGAAUCGCUAGUAAUCGCGCAUCAGCCAUGGCGCGGUGAAUACGUUCCCGGGCCUUGUACACACCGCCCGUCAAGCCAUGGAAGUUUGGGGU
rnacentral:rRNA from 1 species